UACGUAGGUGGCAAGCGUUGUCCGGAAUUAUUGGGCGUAAAGCGCGCGCAGGCGGUCCUUUAAGUCUGAUGUGAAAGCCCACGGCUCAACCGUGGAGGGUCAUUGGAAACUGGGGGACUUGAGUGCAGAAGAGGAGAGUGGAAUUCCACGUGUAGCGGUGAAAUGCGUAGAGAUGUGGAGGAACACCAGUGGCGAAGGCGACUCUCUGGUCUGUAACUAACGCUGAGGCGCGAAAGCGUGGGGAGCAAACAGG
rnacentral:rRNA from 1 species